UACGUAGGUGACAAGCGUUGUCCGGAUUUACUGGGCGUAAAGAGCGCGCAGGCGGUCGAUCAAGUCGAGUGUGAAAGCCCCCGGCUCAACUGGGGAGGGUCAUUCGAAACUGGUCGACUCGAAGGCAGGAGAGGGUAGUGGAAUUCCCGGUGUAGUGGUGAAAUGCGUAGAUAUCGGGAGGAACACCUAUUGCGAAGGCAGCUCGCUGGGACGUCACUGACGCUGAGACGCGAAAGCGUGGGGAGCAAACAGG
rnacentral:rRNA from 1 species